UACGUAGGUGGCAAGCGUUGUCCGGAUUUAUUGGGUUUAAAGGGUGCGUAGGCGGUCCUUUAAGUCAGUGCUGAAAUACUCCAGCUUAACUGGAGGGGUGGCAUUGAUACUGGGGGACUUGAAUGAAGUCGAGGUAGGCGGAAUUGACGGUGUAGCGGUGAAAUGCUUAGAUAUCGUCAAGAACACCGAUAGUGAAGACAGCUUACUAGGCUUAGAUUGACGCUGAGGCACGAAAGUGUGGGGAUCAAACAGG
rnacentral:rRNA from 2 species